GACGAACGCUGGCGGCGUGCUUAACACAUGCAAGUCGAACGGAAAGGCCCUGCUUUUGUGGGGUGCUCGAGUGGCGAACGGGUGAGUAACACGUGAGUAACCUGCCCUUGACUUUGGGAUAACUUCAGGAAACUGGGGCUAAUACCGGAUAGGAGCUCCUGCUGCAUGGUGGGGGUUGGAAAGUUUCGGCGGUUGGGGAUGGACUCGCGGCUUAUCAGCUUGUUGGUGGGGUAGUGGCUUACCAAGGCUUUGACGGGUAGCCGGCCUGAGAGGGUGACCGGCCACAUUGGUACUGAGAUACGGCGCAGACUCCUACGGGAGGCAGCAGUGGGGAAUAUUGCACAAUGGGCGGAAGCCUGAUGCAGCGACGCCGCGUGCGGGAUGACGGCCUUCGGGUUGUAAACCGCUUUCGCCUGUGACGAAGCGUGAGUGACGGUAAUGGGUAAAGAAGCACCGGCUAACUACGUG
rnacentral:rRNA from 1 species